UUGAGGAGUCCAGGGACGAGUGGACGACUGGGCAGUCUGGACGAGGUUGUAAGUUUGUAGCGGUUGAGAGACGAGGAUUGUCAACUUCUUCAUGUGUGUAAGUUUGUUUUAUCUUCCGGCUUCCUCAGUUCAGUCACAAAUUUUGAUUGUCUAUUACUAAAUGUAAACAUGUUCUAAUAUUUAGCAUCGUUAGUUCAUUACUUAGAGUUUUGAAUAAAAGAAUCACGAACAUCAUAAAAUCCUAAAUCUUCUUGUGUAUAUAGACAAACAUAUCAGACGACGAGUGACAUGAGAAAGAUAUUUUUAAAAAUAUUUAAUGAUAUGUGUCAUCGUCGUAGGACAUUGAAGUAUUUAAAAUUUUUAUUUGAAUUUUUUAUUGUUAAUUAAAAUUAAUUGAAUGAAUGUUUUUUUUAAUAUUUUGAAUAUUAAUUAAUUAAUGUAUUUAAUAUUCAUUUUUAUAAGUUUUUAUGAUCGAUUUUAUGAAUAUGCCAUGUUAAAAUUUUAUUUUUAAAAUAGUAAAAAAAAAUUCCUGUCUUCGACGAUUUUCGGCCCCACUAUCAAUGAUUCCUGGAUAGUUGGUGUGGGUUUUUCUUUUCUUUGAUUCAUAUAUAAAUAUUUUACGUCAUGUACUUUUCCCCUUCGUAAUCUUAUUUUAGGGAUGAUUUUUAUGAAUCGGAUCUUCAUUUUUCAAAAUCCAUCUAUGUCAUUUUACAGAAAAUCAUCACUCAGGAAGAUGAAUCAUAUCUAUUAUUCUAAGAUAACUAAAAAAUAUAAACAAAAGUUGAAAUGCACUUAUUUUUUGCUUGUUAAUGGUGUAUAAUGGGAGAUGGACUUUGGUGAGACAUGACUGACAGUCACUCUCAGUAACGUCCUUCAACAAGGACUAGAGUUCUGCCACUUUAUGUCGAACCUCUGGAAAGAUCCAAGGAUACGGAAAUCCGCCAUCUAAAGACCGCCAUACAAGGUCUUAUUUCUUGUAGUGUUACCACCCAAUACCUUGUAUCCAUGUCGAAAAAAUUUGACAUGUACAUGACACGACCGAAUCUGUAUCAACAUGAUAUGACACGACUGACACAACACGGAAUUUGUGUCGCGAUACAUCACGAACACGACACGACUGGAUAAUAAUAAUAAAAUUUCUGAAUAAUAAAAUUAAAAUUAAUUCAAGUUAUUUUAAAAUAUAAAAUAUUUGAUAGAGUUCUUUAUGAUUCAAAUACAAAAUCUAAUUAAAAUCUUAAAUUAAGUUAAGAUUAUUUUUUAAAAUCUAAGUCAAAUACAAAAUCUAAUAAAUUUUAUAAAAAUAUUAUUUUACCCCAAUUACAUAAACAUAGUUAAUUAAUAAUAUAAUAUUGUAUUUUCGUAUUAUCAUGUCAUAUAAUAUGUCUUGUCAACAGUUAACUUAGUGUCGUGUUUUUAUAUACAAAUAUUAAAUCGACAUUAUUAUUAAUCGUGUCAAAAUUUUCGACACUAUUAUAAACGUGUCGUGUUAAAAUCAUGUAUGUUAUUGUCCUAUUAAUAUAGGUCAAUCUCAAUGGAAGAGAGACACUUACUCUACAUACUCUAUAGAAAGAGUGAGUAAGAGAGAGAGAUUGAGAAAACCCUAAUUCGAUCGUGUAGGCCAACUUCCGACCAUACAUCAUCAUAUCAUAUUCUUGUUUCUUCUACUUUUUGAUCUGCUCGUCGUUUUUUCUUUUAAAGUAAUUAAAUUUCAUUAAAGAAAUAGUACAUAAUGCCCGUCGCUUUGGGUAUUACCUGAUUUCUAACUUGUACAUGUGUUAUUCUUUCAUCAUCAUCAAGUUCACAAGUGUUUUUUUUAUCUUGAAUGGUGACGAUGUGAAUAGUUCGUCGAAUAUCGAACUUUUGUUGCAACUACUGAAGAAUAGACUAACUUUGAUCUUUUGUUUGGAAUGGCAAUCUUGUAAAUAAGAUGGAUUCUGCAAGAAGCUGGUUCUGAUUUCUAAAACGUUCGUAUGAUUUAUGUCAAUCGAUUCUCAAAUCAAUAAAAACAACAUAAAAUCCAGCUUAUGAGCCAUCAGAAAAUGACAGUGAUGCCGAGGAAACCAUUGAUCCUCGCCUCCACUCAAGCGUUCCUCAACUCCGCCAAGCAUCCUGAAGACUCGUCGAGGGCAUUUGAUGGCUCACGGUCACUAAAAUUGAAAGCGGCCAUCCUGCGUUUUGGUGAAGAACAAAGCGCUUUAGAUUUGGAGUCUAAGCAUGGAUCGCCUCUACUUGCUCUUUCGAUUGCUACUCUCAGGAGUUUGGGAUUAAUCGCUGGCUCACUGGUGCGAUUUAUAGUUCACUGUUUUCCUUAUUGAAAAUUUUACUGGUGUGUUUAUGUUUAUUUAUUUAUUUAUAUGAAAUGGAACUGUACAAGCAGAAUGAACUUUACAGUCCCUAUCUCCUUAUACUUUCUAAUUGGUUAU
rnacentral:lncRNA from 1 species